GAUAAUAAUUUAAAGUCUGACCUGCCCACUGAUAUUAAUUAAAGGGCCGCAGUAUUUUGACUGUGCAAAGGUAGCAUAAUCAUUAGUCUUUUAAUUGAGGACUGGUAUGAAUGGUUUAACGAAAUAUUAGCUGUCUCAUAAUAAUAAUAUAGAAUUUAACUUUUAAGUCAAAAGGCUUAAAUGUAAUUAGAGGACGAGAAGACCCUAUAGAGCUUAAUAUUUAUAUUUUUAAAUUUUAUUUAGAUGUUUAUAAUUUUUAGAUUUAAGAAUAUUUUAUUGGGGUGAUAAGAAGAUUAAAAUAACUCUUUAUUUAUAUAAACAUUAAUUUAUGAAUAAUUGAUCCAUUAAUAAUGAUUAUAAGAUUAAGUUACCUUAGGGAUAACAGCGUAAUAUUUUUUAAGAGUUCUUAUCAACAAAAAAGAUUGCGACCUCGAUGUUGGAUUAAGGUAAUAAUUGGGUGUAGAAGUUCAAAUUUUAGGUCUGUUCGACCUUUAAAUCCUUACAUGAUCUGAGUU
rnacentral:rRNA from 1 species